rnacentral:rRNA from 1 species
UACAGAGGGUGCAAGCGUUGUUCGGAAUUAUUGGGCGUAAAGGGCGCGUAGGCGGUGCUGUAAGUCUGUAGUGAAAUCUCUGGGCUCAACUCAGAGUCUGCUAUAGAAACUGCAGUGCUGGAGUGUGGGAGAGGUGAGUGGAAUUCCCGGUGUAGCGGUGAAAUUCGUAGAUAUUCGGAAGAACACCAGUGGCGAAGGCGACUUACUGGACACAUAUUGACGCUGAGGUGCGAAAGCGUGGGGAGCAAACAGG